rnacentral:rRNA from 1 species
CAGCUGUCAUAAACAUGAUUAAAACGAGCGAAACGGAUGACUAGUGUUUUUUGCAAAAAAUUAGCCUCAGAAUUAGUGUUUUUUGGCACAAAACUGUAGAAGUGUGGUUUCUGCAACACUAGCCUUCAAUGUCGAUGUUUUUUGCAAUUCACUCCUGCCAUGGUGAUGAUGUCGAACAAAACAACCUUCAUCGACGGGUACAAAUAAUUUAGGUUCUGUUUUGCCUUGUGUUAUCCUGUCUCUAUUUUUUUAUUCAUGUACCUUUGUAUAGUUGUAUCCCCUUUUAAACAGUAGAGAUUUAUUGGCCAAGAGAAACUCUUGUUACAUUUGAGGCUAAUAUCUUGCUAAUUUCAGUUAUGUUAUUCUGAAACCAAGACCUUGAAAAAUACCGGUUAGUGAUCCUAACAAGUAUUUGUGUGCAGUAUACUAAGAUUGUUAUGUCUUGCUUUAAAUCUUCCUGUAUAUAAGAAAAUUUAAAGUAGCACCGGAAUUUCUUAAACUAACCAGCCAACAAAUAUAUCAGCAUAUUCACGGUUACGACAACUCACAAAUAGAAUUUUUUUGCUGGCAAUAUCUACCUAAUACGACUGAAGGUAAAUGUUCUUGAUCUGUGCCGCUUGGAUAAGAGAUUUGAUGAUGCUAAUUGAGAACUUUACCUGGCCAAUAAUCCGUGACAUUGUGAUGGUUGCAUAGAUUAGAAAAUGAAUGGACAAUGUAAUUUUUUGCCAUCUUAAUGUUAAAUAAUUACCCUGUACCUUAGUACCUAUAGAUAAUAUUUUUGUAUAGCAAAGGUGAUGGCUAGAUCAUAAAAUUGGCGGAUUUGCAUGCCUGAUUUGAAAGUACAAUUCGUACUCGUAGUGAGAUUUUUUAUCGCUCGAUAUAUCAGAUGCUUACAUUCUUGGGUGUUCAUUGUAUAUCUUAUUACGAUGAAGACAUACUUCCCAUUGUGUUAUCCUGUUAAUGAAUGUAUUCAAUUUAUAGUGUAGUGGCUAAUUUCAUGAACUAAAUAGGUGUUAUAGAAUUUUUUUCUUUUCAUUUUAAUUGUGUAUAUCAGUAUAUGUAGUUCUGCACAACACGCCUUCUUGCUGAAUUAUAUCAACAGAAGCCAGUAUGCUAAAAUUAACAAAGCUCUUAUGCGACAUUUACUUAUGUAUGUGGAUCAAUCUAAACAAGUUUUUUUUGGUUAGUUUGUCUAUUUUUUCAGGGAUAAACUGCCUUAACCGAAGCAGCAUAUGUUGGAGAAUGUAGAUUCAACUUUCGUUUCAGUAGCUUUGGAGGUAUCCUAUACGACUAUGAGUGAUAUACUCUCCUGUCUCCUCCCUCCAUUUUACUUGAGUUAACCCCUGUACGCACAUGUCUACGUCUGCCUUCAGGACAAUUGCAGCAAGGAAGUAAGCCAAAGAGAAAAUGUCGGUGGAUUCAAAGGCCUUACCAGGUCCACCCAUGAGAUGCAGAAUCGAGAGGAGACCUAGAAAAACUUCUUCUCAAUUGAGAAAACACUCAUUUCUGGCAUAAUCCGGUAAUCCCACUCAAGGAGAAGCAUCAUCACUUAACCUGUUCAUAUUACCCCCAGAAGAAUUAUCAUACUUGCUGGCUCCUCCUGGCCAGGAAGGAUUCUGAUCAAGGAUUUGUUGGAGGUUUCCCAGAAUGCACAUCAUUGAGAGGCAGAACUUCUUUGUUGCCCCCACCAUCUCUGAUCAAGACUUGUUACCACCAUUUAUUUGUGCAAUACCUACAGUUAAUAACACAAUGAAAUAAGCUUUUUUUUGCGGGAACACAAUGAAAUAAGUUAGCUUUACAUUAUAUCCUCAAUUUUCAAUCAAAAUUCCUGUUUGGCCUCAAUCAUUUGCAUGCAUCACAUGGUAUAUACUUGUACGCGUGUCACCCCAUCUCAAU